rnacentral:rRNA from 1 species
GAUGAACGCUGGCGGCGUGCUUAAUACAUGCAAGUCGAGCGAACGGACGAGAAUCUUGCUUCUCUGAUGUUAGCGGCGGACGGGUGAGUAACACGUGGAUAACCUACCUAUAAGACUGGGAUAACUUCAGGAAACCGGAGCUAAUACCGGAUAAUAUUUUGAACCGCAUGGUUCAAAAGUGAAAGACGGUCUUGCUGUCACUUAUAGAUGGAUCCACGCUGCAUUAGCUAGUUGGUAAGGUAACGGCUUACCAAGGCGACGAUGCGUAGCCGACCUGAGAGGGUGAUCGGCCACACUGGAACUGAGACACGGUCCAGACUCCUACGGGAGGCAGCAGUAGGGAAUCUUCGGCAAUGGGCGAAAGCCUGACGGAGCAACGCCGCGUGAGGGAUGAAGGUCUUCGGAUCGUAAAACGCUGUUAUUAGGGAAGAACUUAUGUGUAAGAAACUGUGCACAGCUUGACGGUACCUAAACAGAAAGCCACGGCUAACUACGUG